rnacentral:ncRNA from 2 species
AUUAUAUUUGGAGAAGUGCGGUGAAAAUCCGUCGCAACAGCCAUUACCGUUAAAGUCGGGUCGCCUUGUAUAAU